rnacentral:rRNA from 1 species
GACGAACGCUGGCGGCGUGCUUAACGCAUGCAAGUCGAACGGAAAGGCCCUGCUUUUGUGGGGUGCUCGAGUGGCGAACGGGUGAGUAACACGUGAGUAACCUGCCCUUGACUUUGGGAUAACUUCAGGAAACUGGGGCUAAUACCGGAUAGGAGCUCCUGCUGCAUGGUGGGGGUUGGAAAGUUUCGGCGGUUGGGGAUGGACUCGCGGCUUAUCAGCUUGUUGGUGGGGUAGUGGCUUACCGAGGCUUUGACGGGUAGCCGGCCUGAGAGGGUGACCGGCCACAUUGGGACUGAGAUACGGCCCAGACUCCUACGGGAGGCAGCAGUGGGGAAUAUUGCACAAUGGGCGGAAGCCUGAUGCAGCAACGCCGCGUGCGGGAUGACGGCCUUCGGGUUGUAAACCGCUUUCGCCUGUGACGAAGCGUGAGUGACGGUAAUGGGUAAAGAAGCACCGGCUAACUACGUG